CAACGUGUUUGGAAUGCAGAAGGGUCACCAGCUGCAAAAGCACAGGUGGAGGCCAGAAGAGGGCAUCGGAUCCUCCAGGACUAGAGGUACCGGCGGUUGUGAACAGCUAUGUGGGGCCUGAAGGGCCUUCAGCAUUCUUUCACGCUGAGCAUCUCUCCCACCCCAGAGGCCAGCUUUCAGGAGUCAAUGCUCUUCUUCCGCCAUCAGUCUUGCAUUGCUGGCUCUGGUAGCCCAGUGACCCAUCCCACCGGGCCUGAUGGCUAAAGUCUGAGAAAUAGGAAAUUCCACGCUCUGCUCGCAUCAGCCUCACUUUUCCCAGGAGCAGCCGGACCUCAGAUGCCUCCUCACCUAGCACCUCAGAGCCCGGCUUCUUUAUCCCAGAAGUACCGCUGAGACCCACACCUGUGAAGGCAACUGAAGACUUGGAUUUCCCAUCUCCCAUCUGACUGUCUCGUCUUUCCAAAACUCAUUUCAAAUGGGCAAACAGAACCUGGGUGGGAAACAUCAAACUGGAUUUUUAAAAUUCUAGAAUGUUAGCCCCAAGGGGCCAAGAAUGUUUA